rnacentral:rRNA from 1 species
ACAUACGACCAUAGGGUGUGGAGAACAGGGCUUCCCGUCCGCUCAGCCGCACUUAAGCCACACGCCGGUAGGUCAGUAGUUGGGUGGGUGACCACCAGCGAACUCCUGCUGUUGUAUGUU